rnacentral:rRNA from 1 species
UACGGAGGGUGCGAGCGUUGUCCGGAAUCACUGGGCGUAAAGGGCGCGUAGGUGGCUUUGUAAGUUUGCGGUGAAAGCCCGGGGCUCAACCCCGGGUCUGCCGUGGAUACUGCAAGGCUUGAGUACUGUAGAGGCAGGUAGAAUAUCGGGUGUAGCGGUGGAAUGCGUAGAGAUCCGAUAGAAGACCGGUGGCGAAGGCGGCCUGCUGGGCAGUAACUGACACUGAGGCGCGACAGCGUGGGGAGCAAACAGG